UUGCAGGUGAAACAUGGUGGGGGUAGU
rnacentral:piRNA from 1 species